AGGACUGCCAUCUAGAGAAAAUAGAUGCGUUCGUCCGGUGAACUUUAUAGCUACGUUAUUUCCUGCGUGUGACCUAACAGCGCCUCCAGAUUCAAAUCUUGUUUAUUAACAAGGUAAUUUCCCUUCAACCAGUGGUCAAAAUCUUAGUUUUCCAAAAUAAAAUGAUAAUGUACCUGAUGAGGUAUUGUACAAUAUCAAUCUUCAUAUUUCAAUGUUUUCUCUGCUAAUCCUAGCAAUGUAUCAAGUUUGAAAUUAGCAUUACGCAAAAUAGUGAGCCAGAGAAUGCCAGACUUUGAUGACAAAAUGUGCCACCUUCCUGUUCAAGUGUGCACAGCACAACGUAAGGUGUUGCACCUGACUAACAUUGUCACUGAACAGGAGGAAGAGGCACAAGCAGAGGCGGAAGACAUGGAUCCCUGAAACACAAUACGGACAAAAUGUGAGGCAUCGGACCACUGCGCCCACAAGGAAGAGGCUGGAGGUUUGCGCAACCCGAGUGGGCUCACAAUCACACACUGAGGAGGAAUGCACAGAGGAACUUCCUACAUGCAUGGGACCACUAAGUGUGUUCAUGAGGCAUAACCUGUGUGCGCACACUAUUGCAUGCAGAAUAUAUGUAAAGCGAAUGUGAUAGCUGUUUUUUAUUUUAUUUUUUUAUCUACAGUGCAUUCGGAAAGCAUUCAGACCCCUUGACUCAUACCCCAUAAUAACAAAGCAAAAACAGGCUUUUAGAAAUGUUAGUAAGUAUUAAAAAGGAAAAACUGAAAUAUCAUAUUUACAUUUAGAACCUUUACCUGGUACUUUGAUGAAACAACUUUGGCAGCGAUUACAGAAUUAAGUCUUCUUGGGUGUGACGCUACAAGUUUGGCACACCUGUAUUUGGGGAGUUCUUCCCAUUCUUCUGUGCAGAUCCUCUCAAGCUCUGUCGGGUUGGAUGGGGAGCGUCGCUGCAUAGCUAUUUUAAGGUCUCGCCAGCUCUGGCUGAGCCACUCAAGGACAUUCAGAGACUUGUCCUAAAGCCACUCCUGCAUAGUCUCGGCUGUGUACUUAGGAUCAUUGUCCUGUUGGAAGGUGAACCUUCUCCCCAGUCUGAGGUCCUGAGCUCUCUAGAGCAGGUUAUCAUCAAGGAUCGCUCUGUACUUUGCUCCGUUUAUCUUUCCUUCACUCCGGACUAGUUUCCCAGUCCCUGCCACUGAAAAACAUUUCCACAGCAUGAUGCUGCCACCACCAUGCUUCACCGUAGGGAUGGUGCCAGGUUUUCUCCAGAUGUGACACUUGGCAUUCAGGCCAAGAAGUUCAAUCCUGGUUUCAUCAGACCAGAUAAUCAUGUUUCUCAUUGUCUGAGAGCCCUUUAGAUGCCCUUUGGCAAACUCCAAGUGGGUCGUCGUGUGCCUUUUACUGAGGAGUGGCUACCGUCGUGCCACUCUACUAUAAAGGCCUGAUUGGUGGAGUGCUACAGAGAUGGUUGUUUUUUUGGAAGGUUCUCCCAUCUCCAGAAGAAAUCUGGAGCCCUGUCAGAGUGACCAUCGGGUUCUUGGUCACCACCCUGACCAAGGUCCUUCUCUCCUGAUUGCUCAGUUUGGCCUGCCGGCCAGCACUAGGAUGAGUCUUGGUGAGUCUUCCACUUAAGAAUGAUGGAAGCCACUGUUUAUUGGGACCUUCAAUGCUGCAGAAAUGUUUUGGUACCCUUCCACAGCUCUGUGCCUCAACACAAUCCUGUCUCGGAGCUCUAGGGACAAUUCCUUCGACCUGAUGACUUGGUUUCUGCUCUGACAUGCACUGUCAAAUGUGGGACCAUUAUAUAGACAGGUGUGUGCCUUUCCAAAUCAUGCCCAAUCAAUUUAACUCCAAUCAAGUUGUAGAAACAUCUCAAGGAUGAUCAAUGGAAACAGGAUGCACCUGAGCUCAAUUUCGAGUCUCAUAGCAAAUGAUUUGAACAGUUGAAGUCGGAAGUUUACAUACACUUAGGUUGGAGUCAUUAAAACUUGUUUUUCAACCACUCCACAAAUUUCUUGUUAACAAACUAUAGUUUUGGCAAGUCUGUUAGGACUUCUGCUUUGUGCAUGACACUAGUCAUUUUUCCAACAAUUGUUUACAGACAGAUUAUUUCACUUAUAAUUCACGGUAUCACAAUUCCAGUAGGUCAGAAGUUUACAUACACUAAGUUGACUGUGCCUUUAAACAGCUUGGAAAAUUCCUGAAAAUGAUGUCAUGGCUUUAGAAGCUUCGGACAGGCUAAUUGACAUAAUUUUAAUCAAUUGGAGGUGUACCUGUGGAUGUAUUUCAAGGCCUACCUUCAAACUCAAUGCCUCUUUGCUUGACAUCAUGGGAAAAUCAAAAGAAAUCAGCCAAGACCUCACAGAAAAAAUUGUACACCUCCACAAGUCUGGUUCAUCCUUGGGAGCAAUUUCAAAAUUGCCUGAAGGUACCACGUUCAUCUGUACAAACAAUAGUACGCAAGUAUAAACACCAUGGGACCACGCAGACUUCAUACCGCUCAGGAAGGAGACGUGUUCUGUCUCCUGGAGAUGAACGUACUUUGGUGCGAAAAGUGCAAAUCAGUCCCAGAACAACAGCAAAGGACCUUGUGAAGAUGCUGGAGGAAACCGGUACAAAGUGACUAUAUCCACAGUAAAACGAGUCCUAUAUCGACAUAAACUGAAAGGCCGCUCAGCAAGGAAGAAGCCAAUGCUCCAAAACCGCCAUAAAAAAGUCAGACUACGGUUUGCAACUACACAUAGGGACAAAGAUCAUACUUUUUGGAGAAAUGUCCUCUGGUCUGAUGAAACAAAUAUAGGACUGUUUGGCCAUAAUGACCAUCGUUAUGUUUGGAGGAAAAAGGGGGAGGCUUGCAAGCCGAAGAACACCAUCCCAACCGUGAAGCACGGGGGUGGCGGCAUCAUGUUGUGGGGGUGCUUUGCUGUAGGUGGGACUGGUGCAUUUCACAAAAUAGAUGUGGUCAUGAGGAAGGAAAAUUGUGGAUAUAUUGAAGCAACAUCUCUAGACAUCAGUCAAGAAGUAAAGCUUGGUCGCAAAUGGGUCUUCCAAAUGGACAAUGACCCCAAGCAUACUUACAAAGUUGUGGCAAAAUGGCUUAAGGACAACGAAGUCAAGGUAUUGGAGUGGCCAUCACAAAGCCCUGACCUCAAUCAUAUAGAAAAUUUGUGGGCAGAACUGAAAAAGCGUGUGUGAUCAAGGAGAACUACAAAUCUGACUCAGUUACACCAGCUCUGUCAGAAGGAAUGGGCCAAAAUUCAUCCAACAUAUUGUGGAAGGCUACCCAAAACGUUUGACCCAAGUUAAACAAUUUAAAAGCAAUGCUACCAAAUACUAAUUUAGUACUUCUGACCCACUGGGAAUGUGAUGAAAGAAAUAAAAGCUGAAAUAAAUCAUUCUCUUUACUAAUAUUCUGACAUUUCACAUUCUUAAAAUAAAGUGGUGAUCCUAACUGACCUAAGACAGGGAAUAUUUACUAUAAUUAAAUGUCAGGAAUUGUGAAAAAGAGUUUUUACAUGUAUUUGGCUUAGAUGUAUGUAUAACUGUAUAUAACUUCUGACUUCAACUGUAUGUAAAUAAGGUAUAUUCUUUUAUAUUUUGAAUACAUUGGCAAACAAUUUUUUUCAACCAGUUUUCGCUUUGUCAUUACGGAGUAUUGUGUGUAGAAUGAGAUUUUUUAUUUUAGAAUACUGUGGAAAAAGUCAAGGGGUCUGAAUACUUUCCGAAUGCACUGGAAGUGUUACAAUACAGUUAUCGUAUUUAACUAAUUGAUUAUUUCUCCUUUUCUCUCACUGGUAGCGCACAAUCUCUUCCUCAACGUCAAAUGAACCUUUCCUCCAUUCUCCGUCAAUUCCAGUAGUUUAUUGCAGCUGUGGAAUAUACACUGCUCAAAAAAAUAAAGGGAACACUUAAACAACACAAUGUAACUCCAAGUCAAUUACACCUCUGUGAAAUCAAACUGUCCACUUAGGAAGCAACACUGAUUGACAAUAAAUUUCACAUGCUGUUGUGCAAAUGGAAUAGACAAAAUGUGGAAAUUAUAGGCAAUUAGCAAGACACCCCCAAUAAAGGAAUGGUUCUGCAGGUGGUGACCACAGACCACUUCUCAGUUCCUAUGCUUCCUGGCUGAUGUUUUGGUCACUUUUGAAGGCUGACGGUGCUUUCACUCUAGUGGUAGCAUGAGACGGAGUCUACAACCCACACAAGUGGCUCAGGUAGUGCAGUUCAUCCAGGAUGGCACAUCAAUGCGAGCUGUGGCAAAAAGGUUUGCUGUGUCUGUCAGCGUAGUGUCCAGAGCAUGGAGGCGCUACCAGGAGACAGGCCAGUACAUCAGGAGACGUGGAGGAGGCCGUAGGAGGGCAACAACCCAACAACAGGACCGCUACCUCCGCCUUUGUGCAAGGAGGUGCACUGCCAGAGCCCUGCAAAAUGACCUCCAGCAUGCCACAAAUGUGCAUGUGUCAGCAUAUGGUCUCACAAGGGGUCUGAGGAUCUCAUCUCGGUACCUAAUGGCAGUCAGGCUACCUCUGGCGAGCACAUGGAGGGCUGUGCGGCCCCACAAAGAAAUGCCACCCCACACCAUGACUGACCCACCGCCAAACCGGUCUUGCUGGAGGAUGUUGCAGGCAGCAGAACGUUCUCCACGGCGUCUGUCACAUGUGCUCAUGUGCUCAGUGUGAACCUGCUUUCAUCUGUGAAGAGCACAGGGCGCCACUGGCGAAUUUGCCAAUCUUGGUGUUCUCUGGCAAAUGCCAAACGUCCUGCACGGUGUUGGGCUGUAAGCACAACCCCCACCUGUGGACGUCGGGCCCUCAUACCACCCUCGUGGUGUCUGUUUCUGACCGUUUGAGCAGACACAUGCACAUUUGUGGCCUGCUGGAGGUCAUUUUGCAGGGCUCUGGCAGUGCACCUCCUUGCACAAAGGCGGAGGUAGCCAAGAUUGGCAAAUUCGCCACUGGCGCCCUGUGCUCUUCACAGAUGAAAGCAGGUUCACACUGAGCACAUGUGACAGAGUCUGACUCAUCAGACCAAUGGACAGAUUUACACUGAUCUAAUGUCCAUUGCUCAUAUUUCUUGGCACAAGCAAGUCUCUUCUUAUUGGUGUCCAUUAGUGGUUUCUUUGCAGCAAUUCGACCAUGAAGGCCUGAUUCAUGCAGUCUCCUCUGAACAGUUAAUGUUGAGAUAGCCCUAUUUGAUAACAGACGUAUCUUCUAUAUACCACCCCUACCUUGUCACAACACAACUGAUUGGCUCAAACACAUUAAGAAUGAAAGAAAUUCCCCAAAUUAACUUUUAACAAGGCACACCUGUUAAUUUAAAUGAAUUCCAGGUCAUUUCAUGAAGCUGGUUGAGAGAAUGCCAAGCGUGUGCAAAGCUUACAUCAAGGCAAAGGGUCUACUUUGAAGAAUCUCAAAUAUAAAAUAUAUUUUAAUUUGUUUUAUUCUUUGUUGGUUACUACAUGAUUCCAUAUGUGUUAUUUCAUAGUUUCGAUGUCUUCACAAUUACUCUACAAUGUAGAAAAUAGUAAAAAUAAAGAAA